GUAUCGUGGAAAAAUAUUUACGAAGAAAUCGAACGUCGCAUCUGUCAGCGUGAAUACAUUUCUGUCAUUGCGUAUGCUCCUCGACAGGUGCUAUAAACACGUUCUCUUGCUUCAGGUGCGACGUAGUUUGCCAUCGUCUCUUCGAUCAAGAUCAUCAAGCUGGAUGAGCCACGGUGGAUUCGUUACUUAUUUCGUGUAACCAUUCAAGCUCUAUUCGCCAACUAGGUCGCUGAUAUUUCCACGAUGAUUUACGCUAAUGCACUUUACCGCAUAGUUUGACAGUAUCGGAUAUAAUAUACCCACCGCGCAUAAUCUACAGCUUUCUUGGGCUUAACACGUUGAUUCUACUGUGUAUUACGCGAGUCACAUCUUAAAACUGGGUUAGAACAGUUCCUGAGAUUCUAAGAUUUUCCUUGCGUAUUUUCAAAUUAUUUUUCGUGGUUUACGUGCACGAUGGUCGGUAGAAUUUGUAUUUCAGAUCCGCUCGCCACGGCUCCUCAAAUGCAACUACCUCGUUCAUACCCUUUCGCACGCUGACGCUUUCUCCCAAAUAUUCUUUCUUCUUUCUCUCCGGUUCCUUUCGCUGUAAACAGACGUCCAUCAAUAGAGUCACACAUCUCAUUGUCAGUCAUUCCCAGAACCAGACCACGCCUUACGCGACACUCGAACCGAUUCUUUCAACCAAUUCAAUUUCACUCAUCCAAACAUCCCGCAAUCAUACAUUCCUCACUCGUAAUCUUACUAACUACGCAGGGACGUGGUGGCAGAUUAUUGCUGCCACAACAGUAUACCAACAUUUCAUAAAAUUCGAUGUCAAUUGGUUCAGGGUUCGUACAAGGAUUAAUUCGUACGUGACGUAAAAAUUUCCCGCCUCCUUCGUCGUAGUAGUCGUUCUCCGGGGUCGACGUUUUCGUGGAACGUGGAUCACUGUUUCACCCUUCAGUUUCAACCCUCCCCGUAUCCGGGUGUUCCUGUCCAAGGGCAGACUGCUGAAUAUUUCAAGGGAUAAUUUCGACCCUCCGCCCGCGUCGCCUUCUUCGCGACACAGACAAUAAAAUUAAUAGUUGCGUUGUUUCUAUGGCACGAUCGUAAUUUUGUUCGAUUCGGUCGUAAAUUCUCCAGAUUAUGCAGAGUAAAAGCUUCCUAUCGUUGACUUCAGAGAUGAUAUAGAGGGAAUACGAAGGAAACCUUCGUGAAUCCAUAGGAACUACGAAGCGUCGACGUCGAAGGUAAUCUUCAAAGUAACGCUACGUUUAUAAGUUUUAUAAAUUAGAUAGUGCAAAGUAGAAGCUUCCUAUAGUUGACUUCAAUGAAGACACAGGGAACGGAGUUUAAAUCCCGUGCGUCGCCGACUUUAUGGACGGAUUCUUAAUACUCUGUAGGGGAGCUUGGUACGAGGCAAACUCUGUAGACCGAGGGAAAAGUUUCCAAGUCCCAAUUCUAUCUAAAUCAUAGCAAUGCAAAGUGAAAGUCUUUCGCCAGUGGCUUUCAAGAAGACAUGAAAUACGCAAAUUCGUAGAAAGUGGAAAGCAUCAACGUCGAGUCGAGCAACGAUGAGCGACGAAGGGUGUCGUAUAAAACAACGGUGCGCCGUGUGUUGAACGCAGAAGUAAAGGAGGACGUAAGAAAACGGGAAGGGAAAGCGACGUGCGAAAUAACGUUGACCGGCUGUACAGAAAGGGUUGCAAAAAGGGCAGGGGUGCCGG